GCAUAUCAAUAAGCGGAGGAAAAGAAACCAACAGGGAUUGCCUCAGUAACGGCGAGUGAAGCGGCAACAGCUCAAAUUUGAAAUCUGGCCUCUUUGGGGUCCGAGUUGUAAUUUGUAGAGGAUGUUUCGGGUACCGCCUCGGUUUAAAUUUCUUGGAACAGAAUGUCAGAGAGGGUGAGAAUCCCGUCUUGGACCGGCGGUAGGGCCCAUGUGAAACUCCUUCGACGAGUCGAGUUGUUUGGGAAUGCAGCUCAAAAUGGGUGGUAAAUUUCAUCUAAAGCUAAAUAUUGGCCAGAGACCGAUAGCGCACAAGUAGAGUGAUCGAAAGAUGAAAAGCACUUUGAAAAGAGAGUUAAACAGUAUGUGAAAUUGUUGAAAGGGAAGCGCUUACAACCAGACUUGCGCGCGGCGGUUCCCCCUUCCUUUUGGUUGGGCUACUCCGUCGUGUCCAGGCCAACAUCGGUUCUGGGGGUCGGUUAAAGACCCUGGGAAUGUACCUACCCUUCGGGCGUAGACUUAUAGCCCAGGGUGUCAUGCGACCUCCCGGGACCGAGGAACGCGCUUCGGCUCGGAUGUUGGCGUAAUGGUUGUCAGCGACCCGUCUUGAAACACGGACCAAGGAGUCUAACAUCUAUGCGAGUGUUUGGGUGUCAAACCCGGAACGCGAAAUGAAAGUGAACGGAGGUAGGAAGCCUUAAGGCUGCACUAUCGACCGAUCCUGAUGUCUUCGGAUGGAUUUGAGUAAGAGCAUAGCUGUUGGGACCCGAAAGAUGGUGAACUAUGCCUGGAUAGGGUGAAGCCAGAGGAAACUCUGGUGGAGGCUCGCAGCGGUUCUGACGUGCAAAUCGAUCGUCAAAUCUAGGUAUAGGGGCGAAAGACUAAUCGAACCAUCUGGUAGCUGGUUCCUGCCGA
rnacentral:rRNA from 1 species